rnacentral:rRNA from 1 species
AGCCAGUAUUAGAGGCACUGCCUGCCCAGUGACUUAAUCGUUAAACGGCCGCGGUAUCUUGACCGUGCAAAGGUAGCAUAAUCACUUGUUCUCUAAAUAAGGACUUGUAUGAAUGGCCACACGAGGGUUUUACUGUCUCUUACUUUUAAUCAGUGAAAUUGACCUCCCCGUGAAGAGGCGGGGAUAAUAAAAUAAGACGAGAAGACCCUAUGGAGCUUUAAUUAAUCAACUCAAAAAAAUCGUAAAACAGUACCACUAAGGGAUAACAAAAUUUUAUAUGGGUUGACAAUUUCGGUUGGGGUGACCUCGGAGUAUAAAAAACCCUCCGAGUGAUUAAAACCUAGGCCUACUAGCCAAAGUGUAGCAUCACUUAUUGAUCCAAAUUUUUGAUCAACGGAACAAGUUACCCUAGGGAUAACAGCGCAAUCCUAUUCUAGAGUCCGUAUCGACAAUAGGGUUUACGACCUCGAUGUUGGAUCAGGACAUCCUGAUGGUGCAGCGCUAUCAAGGGUUCGUUUGUU